rnacentral:rRNA from 1 species
CUUUCUUUGCUGGCGACCGGCGCACGGGUGAGUAACACGUAUCCAACCUGCCUUUACUCGGGGAUAGCCUUUCGAAAGAAAGAUUAAUACCCGAUGGCAUAAUGAUUCCGCAUGGUUUCAUUAUUAAAGGAUUCCGGUAAAGGAUGGGGAUGCGUUCCAUUAGGUUGUUGGUGAGGUAACGGCUCACCAAGCCUUCGAUGGAUAGGGGUUCUGAGAGGAAGGUCCCCCACAUUGGAACUGAGACACGGUCCAAACUCCUACGGGAGGCAGCAUG